UGCAAGUCGAGCGAAGCAGUUAAGUUGAUUUCUUCGGAUUGAUUCUUAACUGACUGAGCGGCGGACGGGUGAGUAACGCGUGGGUGACCUGCCCCAUACCGGGGGAUAACAGCUGGAAACGGCUGCUAAUACCGCAUAAGCGCACAGAGCUGCAUGGCUCGGUGUGAAAAACUCCGGUGGUAUGGGAUGGGCCCGCGUCUGAUUAGGCAGUUGGCGGGGUAACGGCCCACCAAACCGACGAUCAGUAGCCGGCCUGAGAGGGCGACCGGCCACAUUGGGACUGAGACACGGCCCAAACUCCUACGGGAGGCAGCAGUGGGGAAUAUUGCACAAUGGGGGAAACCCUGAUGCAGCGACGCCGCGUGAGCGAAGAAGUAUUUCGGUAUGUAAAGCUCUAUCAGCAGGGAAGAUAAUGACGGUACCUGACUAAGAAGCCCCGGCUAACUACGUGCCAGCAGCCGCGGUAAUACGUAGGGGGCAAGCGUUAUCCGGAUUUACUGGGUGUAAAGGGAGCGUAGACGGCAAGGCAAGUCUGAUGUGAAAACCCAGGGCUUAACCCUGGGACUGCAUUGGAAACUGUCUGGCUCGAGUGCCGGAGAGGUAAGCGGAAUUCCUAGUGUAGCGGUGAAAUGCGUAGAUAUUAGGAAGAACA
rnacentral:rRNA from 1 species